AGAGUUUGAUCCUGGCUCAGGAUGAACGCUGGCGGCGUGCCUAAUACAUGCAAGUCGAACGAGGUGCUUUUGUAGCAAUACGAGAGUAUCCUAGUGGCGAACGGGUGAGUAACGCGUUGGUGACCUACCCCAAAGUGUGGGAUAACAGUCCGAAAGGAUUGCUAAUACCGCAUGUGGUCAUUGGAUUUAGAAACUGAUGACUAAAGGAGCAAUUCGCUUUGGGAGGGACCUGCGUCCCAUCAGCUAGUUGGUGAGGUAACGGCUCACCAAGGCGACGACGGGUAGGGGACCUGAGAGGGUGACCCCCCACAAUGGAACUGAAACACGGUCCAUACACCUACGGGUGGCAGCAGUAGGGAAUAUUGCACAAUGGGCGAAAGCCUGAUGCAGCAACGCCGCGUGUGUGAUGAAGGCCUUCGGGUCGUAAAGCACUUUUCUGGGAGAUGAGAAAGGACAGUAUCCCAGGAAUAAGUCUCGGCUAACUACGUGCCAGCAGCCGCGGUAAUAC
rnacentral:rRNA from 1 species